rnacentral:rRNA from 1 species
UACAGAGGGUGCAAACGUUGUUCGGACUUACUGGGCGUAAAGGGCGCGUAGGCGGCGCGACAAGUCACUUGUGAAAUCUCUGGGCUUAACUCAGAACGGCCAAGUGAAACUGUUGUGCUAGAGUGCAGAAGGGGCAAUCGGAAUUCUCGGUGUAGCGGUGAAAUGCGUAGAUAUCGAGAGGAACACCAGAGGUGAAGACGGGUUGCUGGGCUGACACUGACGCUGAGGCGCGAAAGCCAGGGGAGCAAACGGG